rnacentral:tRNA from 1 species
GCACCCGUAAGCUCAGCUGGAAGAGCUCCUGCCUUGUAAGCAGGUGGUCGUCCGUUCGAAUCGGACCGGGUGCUCCA